rnacentral:lncRNA from 1 species
AAGAACCACCGGUUCUUGCCGGUUUUGAAACGAUCCUCGAGGCGCUUCUUGGUCUCCUUGAGGGCAGUGACCUUCUUGUCCUUGGCGUGGAGGACGUCGGGGGAGACGGCGUCCUUGAGGUCCACGUCGAGCGUGUAGCGCGUUGGCAUCAAGUGCUGGUAGUUGACGAGCUUGAUGAAGGCCUUCACGCGCGACUUCUUCGCGGUCUUCUUGGCGGAGUCCUUCUUUAUGACCUUGCUAGGGUACUUCUUUAUCCCUGCAACCAAACAGUGACCGUAGGGGCGCUC